GAUGAACGCUGGCGGCGUGCCUAAUACAUGCAAGUCGAGCGAACAGAUGAGGAGCUUGCUCCUCUGACGUUAGCGGCGGACGGGUGAGUAACACGUGGAUAACCUACCUAUAAGACUGGGAUAACUUCGGGAAACCGGAGCUAAUACCGGAUAAUAUAUUGAACCGCAUGGUUCAAUAGUGAAAGACGGUUUUGCUGUCACUUAUAGAUGGAUCCGCGCCGCAUUAGCUAGUUGGUAAGGUAACGGCUUACCAAGGCGACGAUGCGUAGCCGACCUGAGAGGGUGAUCGGCCACACUGGAACUGAGACACGGUCCAGACUCCUACGGGAGGCAGAAGUAGGGAAUCUUCCGCAAUGGGCGAAAGCUUGACGGAGCAACGCCGCGUGAGUGAUGAAGGUCUUCGGAUCGUAAAACUCUGUUAUUAGGGAAGAACAAAUGUGUAAGUAACUAUGCACGUCUUGACGGUACCUAAUCAGAAAGCCACGGCUAACUACGUG
rnacentral:rRNA from 1 species